UACGUAGGGAGCGAGCGUUGUCCGGAUUCAUUGGGCGUAAAGAGCGUGUAGGCGGCUUGGUAAGUCCGCUGUGAAAGUCCAGGGCUCAACCCUGGAAUGCCGGUGGAAACUGUCAAGCUUGAGUCCGGAAGAGGCGAGUGGAAUUCCUGGUGUAGCGGUGAAAUGCGCAGAUAUCAGGAGGAACACCAAUGGCGAAGGCAGCUCGCUGGGACGGUACUGACGCUGAGACGCGAAAGCGUGGGGAGCAAACAGG
rnacentral:rRNA from 1 species